rnacentral:rRNA from 1 species
GACGUAGGGCGCGAGCGUUGUCCGGAUUUAUUGGGCGUAAAGAGCUCGUAGGCGGCUUGUCGCGUCGGAUGUGAAAACCUGGGGCUCAACCCCGGGCUUGCAGUCGAUACGGGCAGGCUAGAGUUCGGUAGGGGAGACUGGAAUUCCUGGUGUAGCGGUGAAAUGCGCAGAUAUCAGGAGGAACACCGAUGGCGAAGGCAGGUCUCUGGGCCGAUACUGACGCUGAGGAGCGAAAGCGUGGGGAGCGAACAGG